AGCUCUCAACUCACUUCUUUUGUUAAAAAGGAAGUGCAGCUUGGACUUGGAGUCUGUCGGCGUGAGUCGACUUCUCUGAAAUGCAUUAGCCCUACUGCAGAUAAACGAUGGGUAACAGUGUAGUAAUCUUUUGAUCGUCGCUGUGUCCGUUCCCCUUCCGCGGUUGGCUCACAAAGUAAAAGCAGAAGUCAAUCUUCUCUUUUUUCAAUC
rnacentral:misc_RNA from 1 species